rnacentral:rRNA from 1 species
AGAGUUUGAUUCUGGCUCAGAACGAACGCUGGCGGCGUGGAUAAGACAUGCAAGUCGAACGAGAGAAUUGCUAGCUUGCUAAUAAUUCUCUAGUGGCGCACGGGUGAGUAACACGUGAGUAACCUGCCCCCGAGAGCGGGAUAGCCCUGGGAAACUGGGAUUAAUACCGCAUAGUAUCGAAAGAUUAAAGCAGCAAUGCGCUUGGGGAUGGGCUCGCGGCCUAUUAGUUAGUUGGUGAGGUAACGGCUCACCAAGGCGAUGACGGGUAGCCGGUCUGAGAGGAUGUCCGGCCACACUGGAACUGAGACACGGUCCAGACACCUACGGGUGGCAGCAGUCGAGAAUCAUUCACAAUGGGGGAAACCCUGAUGGUGCGACGCCGCGUGGGGGAAUGAAGGUCUUCGGAUUGUAAACCCCUGUCAUGUGGGAGCAAAUUAAAAAGAUAGUACCACAAGAGGAAGAGACGGCUAACUCUGUGCCAGCAGCCGCGGUAAUACAGAGGUCUCAAGCGUUGUUCGGAAUCACUGGGCGUAAAGCGUGCGUAGGCUGUUUCGUAAGUCGUGUGUGAAAGGCGCGGGCUCAACCCGCGGACGGCACAUGAUACUGCGAGACUAGAGUAAUGGAGGGGGAACCGGAAUUCUCGGUGUAGCAGUGAAAUGCGUAGAUAUCGAGAGGAACACUCGUGGCGAAGGCGGGUUCCUGGACAUUAACUGACGCUGAGGCACGAAGGCCAGGGGAGCGAAAGGGAUUAGAUACCCCUGUAGUCCUGGCAGUAAACGGUGCACGCUUGGUGUGCGGGGAAUCGACCCCCUGCGUGCCGGAGCUAACGCGUUAAGCGUGCCGCCUGGGGAGUACGGUCGCAAGAUUAAAACUCAAAGGAAUUGACGGGGGCCCGCACAAGCAGCGGAGCAUGUGGUUUAAUUCGAAGCAACGCGAAGAACCUUACCUAAGCUUGACAUCCUUUUGACCGAUGCCUAAUCGCAUCUUUCCCUUCGGGGACAGAAGUGACAGGUGGUGCAUGGUUGUCGUCAGCUCGUGUCGUG